UUCGGGGGACGAGGGUGACAGGUGGUGCAUGGUUGUCGUCAGCUCGUGUCGUGAGAUGUUGGUUAAGUCCCGCAACGAGCGCAACCCUCGACCUUAGUUGCCAGCAUUCAGUUGGGCACUCUAAGGUGACUGCCGGCUAAAAGUCGGAGGAAGGUGGGGAUGACGUCAAAUCAUCAUGCCCCUUAUGACCUGGGCUACACACGUGCUACAAUGGGCGGUACAAAGGGUCGCGAACCCGCGAGGGGGAGCCAAUCCCAAAAAGCCGCCCUCAGUUCGGAUUGCAGGCUGCAACUCGCCUGCAUGAAGCCGGAAUCGCUAGUAAUCGCGGAUCAGCAUGCCGCGGUGAAUACGUUCCCGGGCCUU
rnacentral:rRNA from 1 species